UAGGGAAUCUUCCGCAAUGGACGCAAGUCUGACGGAGCAACGCCGCGUGAGUGAAGAAGGAUUUCGGUUCGUAAAACUCUGUUGUUAGAGAAGAACAGCGCAUAGAGUAACUGUUAUGCGUGUGACGGUAUCUAACCAGAAAGCCACGGCUAACUACGUGCCAGCAGCCGCGGUAAUACGUAGGUGGCAAGCGUUGUCCGGAUUUUUUGGGCGUAAAGCGAGCGCAGGCGGUCAAUUAAGUCUGAUGUGAAAGCCCCCGGCUCAACCGGGGAGGGUCAUUGGAAACUGGUUGACUUGACUGCAGAAGAGGGGAGUGGAAUUCCAUGUGUAGCGGUCAAAGGCGUAGAUAUAUGGAGGAACACCGGUAGCGAAGGCGAAGUUCUGGUCUGUAACUAACGCUGAGGCUCGAAAGCGUGGGUAGCAAUCAGG
rnacentral:rRNA from 1 species